UGGGGAAUUUUGGACAAUGGGCGAAAGCCUGAUCCAGCAAUGCCGCGUGUGUGAAGAAGGCCUUCGGGUUGUAAAGCACUUUUGUCCGGAAAGAAAUCCUUGGCUCUAAUACAGUCGGGGGAUGACGGUACCGGAAGAAUAAGCACCGGCUAACUACGUGCCAGCAGCCGCGGUAAUACGUAGGGUGCAAGCGUUAAUCGGAAUUACUGGGCGUAAAGCGUGCGCAGGCGGUUUGCUAAGACCGAUGUGAAAUCCCCCGGGCUCAACCUGGGAACUGCAUUGGUGACUGGCAGGCUAGAGUAUGGCAGAGGGGGGUAGAAUUCCACGUGUAGCAGUGAAAUGCGUAGAGAUGUGGAGGAAUACCGAUGGCGAAGGCAGCCCCCUGGGCCAAAUACUGACGCUCAUGCACGAAAGCGUGGGGAGCAAACAGGAUUAGAUACCCUGGUAGUCCACGCCCUAAACGAUGUCAACUAGUUGUUGGGGAUUCAUUUCCUUAGUAACGUAGCUAACGCGUGAAGUUGACCGCCUGGGGAGUACGGUCGCAAGAUUAAAACUCAAAGGAAUUGACGGGGUCAUAGCUGUUUCCU
rnacentral:rRNA from 1 species